rnacentral:rRNA from 1 species
UCCUACGGGAGGCAGCAGUGGGGAAUAUUGGACAAUGGACCACAAGUCUGAUCCAGCAAUUCUGUGUGCACGAUGACGUUUUUCGGAAUGUAAAGUGCUUUCAGUCGGGAAGAAGUCAGUGACGGUACCGACAGAAGAAGCGACGGCUAAAUACGUGCCAGCGGCCGCGGUAAUACGUAUGUCGCAAGCGUUAUCCGGAUUUAUUGGGCGUAAAGCGCGUCUAGGCGGCAAGGAAAGUCUGAUGUGAAAAUGCGGAGCUCAACUCCGUAUGGCGUUGGAAACUGCCUUACUAGAGUACUGGAGAGGUAGGCGGAACUACAAGUGUAGAGGUGAAAUUCGUAGAUAUUUGUAGGAAUGCCGAUGGGGAAGCCAGCCUACUGGACAGAUACUGACGCUAAAGCGCGAAAGCGUGGGUAGCAAACAGGAUUAGAUACCCUGGUAGUCC